GAUGAACGCUGGCGGCGUGCCUAAUACAUGCAAGUCGAGCGAACAGACGAGGAGCUUGCUCCUCUGACGUUAGCGGCGGACGGGUGAGUAACACGUGGAUAACCUACCUAUAAGACUGGGAUAACUUCGGGAAACCGGAGCUAAUACCGGAUAAUAUAUUGAACCGCAUGGUUCAAUAGUGAAAGACGGUUUUGCUGUCACUUAUAGAUGGAUCCGCGCCGCAUUAGCUAGUUGGUAAGGUAACGGCUUACCAAGGCAACGAUGCGUAGCCGGCCUGAGAGGGUGAUCGCCCACACUGGAACUGAGACACGGUCCAGGCUCCUACGGGAGGCAGCAGUAGGGAAUCUUCCGCAAAGGGCGAAAGCUUGACGGAGCAACGCCGCGUGAGUGAUGAAGGUCUUCGGAUCGUAAAACUCUGUUAUUAGGGAAGAACAAAUGUGUAAGUAACUAUGCACGUCUUGACGGUACCUAAUCAGAAAGCCACGGCUAACUACGUG
rnacentral:rRNA from 1 species